GGGGGGGGUUGGGUUACGUUGGGGUGUCCCGGCGAGAAUAGGACCGACCGGGACCAUGGACACUUCCUGGUCCUCCAGAGGCAGUCGACACACAAACUGGGGGGAGCUUCCCUUCACUGCUGUCUGCGAGGAGAGGAACUAGACCCUCAUAGACUAGACCCCCAUGGACUAGACCCUCAUGGAGAAAACCCCCAUGGAGUACAACUCCAAGAACUAGACCAAUUAUCUCUAGGGCCCCAUGAGAAGACCUCCAUGCAGGAAAACCUCCAGGAUCUCAGGUCCAAAACCUCUCACACAUAUGCACACACGAGCAUAUAUACACACAGAAAUGCACGCAGACAUAAACACAAACACACACAUGUACAUGUAUACACACAUGUAAACAAACAGAUGUAUAAAUAAGGUCCACCAUAAAUGAUACAUAUAUAUAUAUAUAUAUAUAUGUAUAUACAAAUUUUAGAGUCCACACGUACAUGCAGUAUAUGAAGUGUUUUGACUGCCGCAGCAACAGAAGUCCUGAGGGAGCGAGCGAUCGAGCAGCGCUUAGACUGGAGAGAACGAGAAGAAAGCAUCCACAGAGAAACUCCUCAAGUCAUGUAGCAGUUGUUUCGUGUUCCUCGGUGUCUGAAGGACAUCCUCUCAGGACAUCUCAGCAGGUCACUUCCUGGGGGGGGUCAAGGUUGACCUCCUACCUGGAAAUUACAAAAGGACAUCUAUCACCACGGACAUAUUUAACGGACUAGAGUUGUAUCUGUUUGUUUUAGAACUAGCCUCAGUGAAAUGAACGUAGCAUUUAGUAGAGAAAAUACAGAGUCUAAGUCUGUCUGCUUCUGUCCAAACUAAGAGAACAACAAGUAGUGUGAUUAUUUUAUACUUCCUGUGUAUGUGCGUCUGUGUGUGCAUGCAUGUGCGUGUGUACGUGCACGUUUGUGUGUGCACGUGCGUGCAUGUGUGUGUGUGUGCGUGUGGACGAAUGUGAGCGAGUGUGAGCCGCCUCCUAAAGCACAAGCUGUUUUGUAAGGCACGGGUCGGAGCAGCACUUUGUAAAUACGUUGUGCAUCGUCAGGUAGUUCCGCUGCGUCGCGCCCAACCUUUUCUACGAAGACCCUCCUUAAGGCUGUCCCCAGGGUUAGGGUCAGCGGGGGACAAACUGUAUGUAGCAAAACGAUGAAGAUGUAUAGUUUAUUAAGUCGAUAAAUAGGACGUGAUAUGUAUACAAGAUAAGAUUAUUCGAUGUACAGUACAGUAGCAGAUACAUGCACUCUUUGAAGUCCACACUCACCUGUGUCCUGGUGUCACACCUCCUUCCAUCUCUCUGGGUGCUGCCUGCUCCGUCGAUACCUCCUGCCUGCUCUUCUGUCAAUAAAGGUAUAAAUUCAAGCUGGAGGCCAAUUCUGGGUCGAUCACAGACAGCCGGGCUCAGUUCCCCAAGAUACAGAGACAAUAUAUACAAGAUCCAAGACGUAGGGUUAUAUAGGUAAACAUUCAAAAUAGUUUCUGAACACAUGGCUUUGUAUGUAUUGGCCUUCUGAAUGCUUUCUGUGUGCGUGGCAGUAAAUGUGGGGGUCACGCACCACGUCCCCACCAGGUGGAGGUGGUGUGUGUAUGAAGUCCCCACAAGGUGGGUGUGUGUGUGAGGUCCCAACAAGGUGUGUGUGUGUAUGAAGUCCCCACAAGGUGGUUGUGUGUGUGUGUGAAGUCCCCACUAGGUGGGGGUGUGUAUGUGAAGUCCCCACAAGGUGGGGGCGUGUGUGUGAAGUCCCCACAAGGUGGGGGCGUGUGUGUGAAAUCCCCACAAGGUGGGGGUGUGUGUGUGAGGUCCCCACAUGAUGGGGGUGUGUCUGUGAGGUCCCCACAUGAUUGAGGUGGGGUUGGGGCGGUGUGGGGGCAGUCUGGACGGAGAGGAUGUCUGCAGAGAGCUGGUGUCUCAGGGUGUGUGUGGUCGGGACGGUGGCUUGGGUUCAAGGUCAGUACCGGGUCCAAAAGGUGCGGUGUGUUCUUCUGACCGUCCUGACGUCUCCCUGGCUGCUCACGGUUCCGUUUCCUCCAAUGCUCCUUCUACUGUUACACCAGACACAGAAGGGGGGGUGGGGGUUGUGGUUGUGUGUGCGCCUGUUUUUAUGUCUGCAUCGCUGAAUACAUGUACAUGUGAGUAUGUGUUAACACGUGUGUGUGUGUGUGUGUGUGCGUGUCUAUAUAUAAGUGUGUGUGCGCUGUAUGUAAGUGUGUGUGUGUGCGUGUGUUUGUGUGUGCAUGUAUGCGUGUAUCGGUGUGUUUGCGUGCAUCAGUGUGCGUUUGGAUCUAUGUGUGUGUGUUUGUGUUUGUGUGAGAGACCGCUCCGUUUGUCCCUCAGAACCCCAGGCGACGGUAUAUCUCUUUGUCGCCAUAGUGACGGUAGCCGUGCCGCUCAGGCUGGGCUCUUGACAGACCCCCCCCCCCCACCUCUCACUCUCUCCUCCCGGGGAUCGAACCCCAACCUCCAUCAGGGCUGCUAAACGAGCACAGAUUGAACUCCCUGCUCCAGACUCACAUCAGACAGACAAUCUGAUGCUCCGUAUCGAUCAGGAUGAGUCAGCUCAGUACUUCACAUUCCAGAAGUAUUAUUAUUUUUCAUAUAAUCAUCAAAACAUAUUUCACAGUUGACAGGCUUUGCACAGGUUCCCUUCCUCGAGGCUCAAAGAACGCGAGGCUUGAGAUCCCUGCGUUUGACCGUGGGUAAUAUCCAUCCGGGAACAUUGAAACCAUCUUCUGCAAACACGCAUGUCAGAACGUUUUUAUCCACUGCUCGAUCCUGGCUCGAAGACGAGGCACACUUCCACUCUGUUAAUAACGUGAUAGUGUUUCGUGAUAACUUCGCUCAUCUGUACAAACGUUAAUGAAAGCAGAGCAGGGGUCAGAUAACGAGCAUCUAAGCCUCGGAGAGAGUCUUUCCUUGAAGCUUAGCCAGAAAGUUAGCAUCACGUAUCGUUUUAGCCUUGGAAAUAGACUGUUCCAGAGUCCUGGCCAAAGAGUUUGUAUCUGCUAGCAUUUUAGCUCUGAAGUUAGCAUCUUAAUAGCGUUUUAAGCCCCAGAGUUAGCAUUUUAAUAGCGUUUUUAGCCCCAGAGUUAGCAUCUUAAUAGUGUUAUUAGCCCCAGAGUUAGCAUUUGAAUAGCGUUUUUAGCCCCAGAGUUAGCAUCUUAAUAGUGUUAUUAGCCCCAGAGUUAGCAUUUUAAUAGUGUUAUUAGCCCCAGAGUUAGCAUCUUAAUAGUGUUAUUAUCCCCAGAGUUAGCAUCUUGAUAGCGUUUCCAGCCCCAGAGUUAGCAUCUUAAUAGCGUUUCUAGCCCCAGAGUUAGCCUCUCCUUUACUCCGGCCUGUCCAUGGUCCAACAAACUGGUUUUGCAUCGAUGGUUAAGGCCAUCCUCAUGUAUAUACUGUCUGUCCCCAGGCAAAAAGCAGAGAAAUUGUUUAAUAUGUGUUUAAUAAAUACUAUUUGUGUACCUGAG
ensembl:lncRNA